CAACUUUCUUGUGGACUCUUAACUUCUCCUGUGCGAAAGUACCAGAUGAGGAAGAGAAAAGAUAGCUCUUUAUGUUUUAAAAAACUGAAGUUCGCAUUCUCUCUCAGCAAUGGCUGAUGGUUGGAGUACCAGGUGAGGAGAGGACGGAUUUGUGUAGAUAAACCCGGAUAUAUUCAUUUGGAUGGCAUCAGCAAGGAGGAUGAAAUCAAAUGCCCAAACAAUUUAGAAGUUUGAUGCAUAACCAAGAUGCGCAGGAGUGUGGACUGUCAGAAGCUGGAGAAUCUCUUGCAGGAGGUUGAUAUGUCCUCCUUUGAGAAUGUGACCAUUGCCACCAUACAGUUCAGUUUCUACUGAAAGCAGUUGCUGGACCUUUUAUCUGUAUUGAUGCAGUUGUUGCCACUGAGGUUGUUAAUUGUUGUGGCCAUUAAGUUUUGUGAUUCUAAAGACUUACCAUUCUGAUUAGUCAAGAAUGAGCCUGUAUUGAUCUUAAUGUAUACUGUGUGUUCUCCAAGCCAUUAGAAAUUAAUGUUAGUAUCUUUGUUGCUGCUUUGUA